rnacentral:rRNA from 1 species
GCAUGGCUAAAACAUGCAAGUCGAACGCGAAAGCACUUCGGUGCAAGUAGAGUGGCGAAAGGGCGAGGAAUAAGUACCUAACUACCCCCAGGUCAGGGAUAGGUCGGGGAAACCCGGCGUAAUACCUGAUGUGGUCUCCGGAUCAAAGAUUUAUCGCCCGGGGAGCGGGGAACAUCCUAUCAGGUUGUUGGUGAGGUAACGGCUCACCAAGCCAAAGACUGGUAGCGGGUGUGAGAGCAUGACCCGCCGCAUCGGGACUGAGACACUGCCCGGACUCCUACGGGAGGCUGCAGUAACGAAUAUUCCGCAAUGGACGAAAGUCUGACGGAGCAAUGCCGCGUGCAGGAUGAAUCCCUUCGGGGUGUAAACUGCUGUCAGGGUUUAGGAACACAAUACCAGACCCAAAGGAAGGGCCGGCUAACUUCGUGCCAGCAGCCGCGGUAAUACGAAGGGCCCGAGCGUUAAUCGGAAUCACUGGGCUUAAAGCGUACGUAGGCGGACAUGUAGGUACUUUGUGAAAUCCCACCGCUCAACGGUGGAACUGCUGGGUAUACCGCAUGUCUUGAGACAGGUAGGGGUCGUCGGAACGAUAGGUGGAGUGGUGAAAUGCGUUGAUAUCUAUCGGAACGCCGAAGGAGAAGUCAGGCGACUGGGCCUGUUCUGACGCUGAGGUACGAAAGCGUGGGUAGCGAACGGGAUUAGAUACCCCGGUAGUCCACGCCGUAAACGAUGUGCACUAGGUUGGGGACGUACUGACACGUUUCCUGGCCGAAGCGAAAGUGUUAAGUGCACCGCCUGGGGAGUACGGUCGCAAGGCUAAAACUCAAAGGAAUUGACGGGGGCUCACACAAGCGGUGGAGCAUGUGGCUUAAUUCGAAGCAACGCGAAGAACCUUAUCCUGGGUUUGACAUGUAUGGAUUAACUCCGUGAAAGCGGAGCCACGCCUUCGGGUGGAACAUACACAGGUGCUGCAUGGCUGUCGUCAGCUCGUGCUGUGAAGUGUCGGGUUAAGUCCCUUAACGAGCGCAACCCCUAUCGUUAGUUGCCAGCGCGUAAUGGCGGGCUGGGGACUCUAGCGGGACUGCCGGCGUCAAGUCGGAGGAAGGUGGGGACGACGUCAAGUCCGCAUGGCCUUUAUGCCCAGGGCUGCACACGUGCUACAAUGGCGUAUACAGAGCGACGCGAGACCGCGAGGUGGAGCAAAUCGCAAAAAGUACGCCCCAGUUCGGAUUGCAGGCUGCAACUCGCCUGCAUGAAGUUGGAAUCGCUAGUAAUCGGAGAUCAGCUUGCCGCGGUGAUACGUUCCUGAGCAUUGUACACACCGCCCGUCAAGUCAUGGAAGCUGGCAGCGCCCGAAGUCGCCUCGAAUCAGGGGUGCCCACGGCGAGGCUGGU